rnacentral:rRNA from 1 species
UACAGAGAUCUCAAGCGUUGUUCGGAUUCAUUGGGCGUAAAGGGUGCGUAGGCGGCGCGGUAAGUCGGGGUGUGAAAUUUCGAGGCUUAACUUCGAAACUGCAUUCGAUACUGCCGUGCUAGAGGACUGGAGAGGAGACUGGAAUUUACGGUGUAGCGGUGAAAUGCGUAGAUAUCGUAAGGAAGACCAGUGGCGAAGGCGGGUCUCUGGACAGUUCCUGACGCUGAGGCACGAAGGCCAGGGGAGCAAACGGGG